ensembl:lncRNA
GAAACAGCACCUGAUCCUAUUCAGGCAACUCUUCUCCCUCCUUUUAAUUCCAGUACUUUGAUGAGUGGGUUCAUCCCAACCCUGGUCUCAGCGGAGGGCACUGACCCAGGCCUGACGAAUCAAUCAUUCCAUGCCUCUUGGCUACCGUGAUUGGCACAGUACUCAGAGAUGGCACGGGCUGGGCACAGAACUUGCAGGGAUGAUGAUGUUUCCAGGUCAGCCCGGAAAAGCCAGUGCAGCCAGUCAGACGUUUCUAGAAUGGUAGACUGCCAGUAUCACAGGGAGUCUGAUCUGAAGGGCUUCCAUCCUGGGCUGACGGACACGGAAAGUGAGUGCUGACAGUCUGCUCUGCGCUUUCCCAGAGAGAGUCCCCAGGAGCAAUAUGUAAUCAUCUAAUUAAAACAUCAAUUCUCAGCUGGAGAGAAGGAUGGAAAGAGGACAGGGGGAUGAUAAAGCAAGCACAGUCACGUGUCCACACAGACUCUCGGGGCGCACACAGGUGGUCACUGGAGAAAGCCUUUCAGCUUUGCCGUGUGUUUGAAAAUCCUUAUAGAUAAAUAUUUGGGAGAAUAAACUCUUAAUUUGAAUUUAUUAUUUCCUUCUUUCUUUUGCAAUGCCCAGUUUUUCCUAAGCCUCUCUUUGAUUAUUCAAGUUGCCAGCACCCGGGCAAUUACUUCCUGCAAACAAGUUGUCAGAAGGCGCAAAUAAAUUUUAGACCUAAUUUAAUUCUCAGUUUACUUGCUCAUGAAAAAAAAAAUCUUAAUUUCUCCAAACCACAUCAACCCUUGAUAUGCCAGUUAUGAUUUCUUUUCAAAAGCCGGCUGUGAAAUGCUAAGCCAAUCACUCAGAGACGGUCUGACUGAAUGAAUGACGGCUGGGGAAAGAAGGCCAUGUUCAGAGCAUCCGGGAUGAACGCCUCUAGGAUUGUGGGAGAAGACACUUCUGUGUUGUUGAGACACCAGUCUGCAGGGCUUGGUUACGCAGCCCAAGGACAGGAAUUCACAGAGUGACAGUGGAAGCGCAGAGGGUAGGUCUGCAGGCCCUGUUGCUGCUCGGAAGCCCCACGUGCCCUUGGUCUGCUCCUCCCUGGCCUUGGGGUGUGAGACCUGGGAUCCUUUUUGUUUAAGCUUCUGUUUCUUGAGCCUAAACAACCAACAGGUGGUCUCAGAGCAGAAGGCUGUGCCCAUCCAUUCACUCCUCUCUUCCUUCCUUCCUUCUGCUGCAUCCUGGAGAGUCAGGACCCAGCUCAGCCUCAAGUCUGACUGACAGUAUUAACAUCACUGAUAAAGAACAGAGAAGUCCUCAAGAGGAGUCCACUGUUUCAGCCGCACGCUUGCCACCUCAAGGUCAAAGGAGGGCUCUCCAGCACUGUCCGAGUGCAAGCAAGACACAGGGAGAAGAGCAAGUGCUGGUGGCGUCUGUCCCUUUUACUAGGAAAGCAAAAGCUGUCCUCAGAGCCACUGGGCAGAUUUUCAGUGACUUCUCAUCAAUGAGCAUUGUGGCAAACGGCUACAUCCAGGAAGUGGAUGUGCGAGGAAAGCUGGAAAAGAGCACAUCUAGCAUUUCUGCCUCUACACUGGAGAUGCCUUAGUUCCUACCGCAGCCAUGACAAAUUCCCAUAAACCAGAGGGGCUUGAAACAGCAGCAGUGUAUUCUCUCACAGCUCUGGAGCCUGGAAGCCCCAAACCGAGUUGUCAGUGGGGUGGGUUCCUUUUUAGAGGCUCUGAGGGAGAAUUUCCUCCUUGCCUCUCUCCCAGCUUCUGGUGGUUGCCAGCAAUCCUUGGCUCCUAGACACACCCCUCCCAUCUCUGCCUCUGUCGUCACAUGGCCUUCUCCCCGUGCCUCUUCUUCAAAGGACUCCAGGCACUGGGUUAGGUCCCAGCAUAAUCCAUCUAGACCUCAUCUUUGCUUGAUCACAUCUGCAAAGACCCUAUUUCCAAAGAAGGUCACAUUCACAGGUGCUGGGGGUUAGGACUUCAACACAUCUUCUGCGGGGACACAACUCACCCUAUGACACAGGUGGACAGGGAGAGAGGGUUUGGGGAGGGGUGUUGGGUUGGUCCCCAGGUGUGAUGCUUGGAGAUAUUGUGUCAAGA